rnacentral:ncRNA from 1 species
AAAGUUUUAUUUUGGCUGAAAAAUUUAUUAUUUUUAUAUUUUAUAUGUGAGUUUUUGUGAGAAAUAUUUUUAUUUUUAAUAAAUAAAAAUUGAUUUUUAAUCGCAGUAUUUAAAAUUAAUAAUUAAAGAAAUUUAGAAUUAGUAAUAGAUAAUAGUAUGGGUUAAUUUUGUGCCAGCAUCCGCGGUUAUACAAAAUAUACAAAUGAAUUUUAUUAUUAUAUAGUUAAUUGAUUUAUUAUAAAUUAGAUUAUAAAUUUUAAGGUGAAAUUUAAAUUUAUUAAAUAUUUAUAAGGAAGUUUUUAUGAAGCUAUUAAAAUUUUUUAAUAAACUAGGAUUAGAUACCCUAUUAUUUAAAAUGUAAAGGUAUAAUUAUUUGGUAGUAGUAGUUAAAGUCUUGAAACUAAAAAAAUUUGGCGGUAUUUUAAUCUAAUUAGAGGAAUCUGUUCCGUAAUCGAUAGUCCACGAGAGAUUUUACAUAAUUUUAUUGAAUUUGUAUAUCGUCGUUAUAAGGAAAUUUUAUAAGAAUUAUAAUUUUCUAGAAUUUAUAUUAUAAUAUAUUUCAGAUCAAGGUGCAAUAUAUAAUUAUGAGGAGAUGGAUUACAAUAAAUUUAUUUAUAUGGAUAAUAAAUUGAAAAAAUUUUUUUGAAGGUGGAUUUAAUAGUAAUUUAAAUUAGUUGAUUUAAAUGAUUAUAGUUCUAAAAUAUGUACAUAUCGCCCGUCGCUCUCUUUAUUAAAAAGAGAUAAGUCGUAACAAAGUAGGUGUACUGGAAAGUGUACCUAGAAUGAU